rnacentral:misc_RNA from 1 species
GAGAGAGAGAGUCUCCUACCUGUUGCCCUUUCUUUGACACCGCUGUAUGUUAAGAAGAAAAUAACUUUUUCUUUUGGGAAAAAAGAAGAGAUAUUUUUGGUCGAAAUUCGAAAAAGAUUCUUUAAGCAUUUUAUAUCUGGGAAUUCCGUUCGAUUUCCACCAGAAUUUAUCAUCCGGUUAAGAUCAAUUUCUCUUUAUAUUUUGGUGCUGAAAUGGUUUUUGACGCAUUUCCCAGCUGGAACUUCACGUAAAUUUCCAUAAUUCAGAUCAGAGAUUCGGUAUAUCUGAGAUUUGGAGCUCUGUUGGUGAUUCUAGCGGUGAAGUCAAUUCUGGAGUUGAAUAGUGUUUGAGAGAAUUUUCUGGCGAAAGGAA